GGGGAAAAUUGAAAUAUUUAUGAUCUUAGAUGUGUGGCUAUAGCCUUCCAAUGGUUACCUAAACUUUUAGUUCAUUAGGUACCAACAUGGGCAUCAUAAAUCAACUGGCCAAAAUAAUCUAUAAUUUGCUUUAUAUUAAAAUCUAUUAUUGUGGCGGUUAUUUUUUUGCAUUUGCAAAAUCAAUGGGUCCAGACAUCGUCUGGCCAUUAUGCUAGUUGUAUAUCUAUACAAAUACAUUAAAGGGGAAGCUUGUAGCCUCCCGUACGUUACGUGUCAAGCUCUGGCUUCUUCGAUUAUUAAUUUUUUUUUUCUUAGAACAUUCACCGAACC
rnacentral:lncRNA from 1 species